AUCGAACGCUGGCGGCAUGCCUUACACAUGCAAGUCGAACGGCAGCAUGGAAGAGCUUGCUCUUCUGUUGGCGAGUGGCGAACGGGUGAGUAAAGCAUCGGAACGUACCGUGUAGUGGGGGAUAACGUAGCGAAAGUUACGCUAAUACCGCAUACGCACUGAGGUGGAAAGCAGGGGAUCGCAAGACCUUGCGCUAUACGAGCGGCCGAUGUCAGAUUAGCUAGUUGGUAGGGUAAAGGCCUACCAAGGCGACGAUCUGUAGCGGGUCUGAGAGGAUGAUCCGCCACACUGGGACUGAGACACGGCCCAGACUCCUACGGGAGGCAGCAGUGGGGAAUUUUGGACAAUGGGCGAAAGCCUGAUCCAGCCAUGCCGCGUGAGUGAAGAAGGCCUUCGGGUUGUAAAGCUCUUUCGGCCGGGAAGAAAUCGCACGGGCUAAUACCCUGUGUGGAUGACGGUACCGGAAUAAGAAGCACCGGCUAACUACGUGCCAGCCGCCGCGGUAAAAC
rnacentral:rRNA from 1 species